rnacentral:lncRNA from 1 species
ACCUAUCUUGAGAAAUCCGACAACUCCAAGAACAAAGAGAAAUACUUACAAGCUUCUAGAUAAUGCAGAUACAUAGAGGCAAAAACCCAAUCAGACUGGCACAUAACCAAAAGUUUAUAAAAGUACAUUUACAGACCACCAAGUUUUUGAAAAAUUUAUUAAUUUCUUGCAUAUGGCUAUAACAAAUUUAAAGAUAUCCACUGUUACCAUUCUCAAUUGCUGCAUAAGAAACCACUCAAAACUUAGUGACUUAAGAUGACAAUGUAUUGUUUCUUGUGACCCUGUUGGCUAGCUGGGUAGUUCUUUUAUGCAUCCCACUUAGGUGGCAACAUUUACCUGGAGGGGCAGUUGGGAACUGAGCUCAAUUGAGU